UUUGGCUUGCGCAACAACUGCCACCCGACUUACCUCUUCAGUUGCCUGCCUAGGUGGUUGUAUCACCUAUGCGGAUGGGGUUUCUUGUGUUGCCUACCCAAGUCAUGGUAUUGUCCUGAUUGAAUGAAUUAGCUUUCGUCUUUUGUCAUCCACUUGGCAUGAGAUGAACCUUGAAGCUAUCUCUUUGAUCCACAUCAUUAGUGUUUGCACUGAUGUUGUGGCCCAUUGAGCAUUGCUUGUUAUCAUGGAUACGGAACCUGAUGUGGGCAUAGGGCCUUAUGUGGUCCUUGUUCUGCCCUUGUUUAGCGUUCACGCUUCUCUUUAAAUGACCGCCUAUCCCGCAUGGGCUCGUACCGGUGGGUGGGUUACGUUAAAGAGGAAUGC
rnacentral:misc_RNA from 1 species